GUAGGGAAUAUUGCGCAAUGGACGAAAGUCUGACGCAGCGACGCCGCGUGAGUGAUGAAGGCCUUAGGGUCGUAAAGCUCUGUUGAAUGGGAAGAAAAAAAUGACGGUACCAUUCGAGGAAGGACCGGCUAACUUCGUGCCAGCAGCCGCGGUAAUACGAGGGGUCCUAGCGUUGUUCGGAAUCGUUGGGCGUAAAGGGUGUGUCGGUGGCCAUGUAAGUCAGGUGUGAAAGCCCCGGGCUCAACCCGGGAAGUGCACUUGAUACUGCGUGGCUUGAGUACCGAAGAGGGUAGUGGAAUUCCAGGUGUAGUGGUGAAAUACGUAGAUAUCUGGAGGAACACCGGUAGCGAAGGCGGCUACCUGGUCGAGUACUGACACUGAGACACGAAAGCAUGGGGAUCAAACAGGAUUAGAUACCCGAGUAGUCC
rnacentral:rRNA from 1 species